GGGCCAUUAGCUCAGUCGGUUAGAGCAGGCGACUCAUAAUCGCUUGGUCGUAGGUUCGAGUCCUACAUGGCCCACCA
rnacentral:tRNA from 1 species